GUGCUUGCUUUGGCUGCACAGAUACUAAAAUUGGAAAAACCCAGAGAAGAUUAGCAUGGCCCCUGAAAAAAAAAAACUCAAAACUUGAUAGCAAGAAAAGUUACCU